ACGGCUCAGUAACACGUGGACAAUCUGCCCUUGGGUCUGGGAUAACUCCGGGAAACUGGAGAUAAUACCAGAUAGGUCAUAGAUGCUGGAAUGCUCUAUGGCCCAAAGCUCCGGCGCCCAAGGAUGAGUCUGCGGCCUAUCAGGUUGUAGUGGGCGUAAUGGACCCACUAGCCUACGACGGGUACGGGUUGUGAGAGCAAGAGCCCGGAGAUGGAUUCUGAGACAUGAAUCCAGGCCCUACGGGGCGCAGCAGGCGCGAAACCUUUACAAUGCGCGCAAGCGCGAUAAGGGGACCUCGAGUGUUCCUACCUAGUAGGAACUGUCCAGUUGUCUAAAAAACAACUGUUAGCAAGAGCCGGGCAAGACCGGUGCCAGCCGCCGCGGUAACACCGGCGGCUCGAGUGGUGACCGCUUUUAUUGGGUCUAAAGGGUCUGUAGCCGGUCUAACAAGUUCUUUGGAAAAUCUGGUCGCUUAACGAUCAGGCUGCUAGGGGAUACUGUUAGACUUGGGACCGGGAGAGGCUAGAGGUACUUUAGGGGUAGGGGUGAAAUCCUGUGAUCCUUAAAGGACCACCAGUGGCGAAGGCGUCUAGCUAGAACGGAUCUGACGGUGAGGGACGAAAGCUGGGGGCACGAACCGGAUUAGAUACCCGGGUAGUCCCAGCCGUAAACGAUGCGAGCUAGGUGUCAGUUUUACUGCGAGUAAAAUUGGUGCCGUAGGGAAGCCGUGAAGCUCGCCACCUGGGAAGUACGGCCGCAAGGCUGANACUUAAAGGAAUUGGNGGGGGAGCACUACAACGGGUGGAGCCUGCGGUUUAAUUGGACUCAACGCCGG
rnacentral:rRNA from 1 species